UGCAAUAGUUGAAUUUAAUGACUCAGUCAGUGAAAAUAUACCAGUUUAAUGGUUAUGCACAAAAGAGGAAGAUAAAUGUUUUUGGCCUGAGUUUUUGCCUCUUUCAAAAGUAUCAAAGCUGGUUAGCCAAAAAGCAAAUCCAUAUCCAGCAUGGAAAAAGUGUAAUGUUCGAACUUUAGGAAAGGCAGAUAAUGGUAAUAUUUCAACAUGACAUUUAACACCAUAUAAAACAUUUACUUAAAAAAAUGUUAUUAUUUUACACUUUAGCUACUUAUGAAAGAGCAAGAAAGAAGUUAAAGCUUUUAGAAAACACAUCUGAUUUGAAUAUUACAGAAAGUGAAAACAAAGAUAAAGCAACUGGUGUGCUAAAAAAGAAAAGGUUGAUUACUAACUUGAUCAAGGAGGUUGUACUUUUGUGGAGGAUAAUGGCCGUAAUAGUGCUGUAAUGACAACAAACACAAAUACAUAUGAACCGAAGUAAAUAUAACUCCAGAUAAUUUAAACUGUAACGAGGAAUGCACAUCAGUAAUCAAAUGUGAGGGGCUUGGCUUUGUGUCACAAGACUGAGAUGACAAACGAGCCAAAUGUGCUUAAGCCACCGAGAAGUACCUUUGGAUAUAGAA
rnacentral:lncRNA from 1 species